rnacentral:misc_RNA from 1 species
AACGCACAUUGCGCCCCUUGGUAUUCCGAGGGGCAUGCCUGUUCGAGCGUCAUUACAACCCUCAAGCACUGCUUGGUAUUGGGCUCCGCUGGUUUCAGCGGGCCUUAAAAUCAGUGGCAGCGCCGUCUGAGCUCUGAGCGUAGUAAAUAUCCUCGCUAUAGAGACCAGGUGGUUCUUGUCAUCAACCCCCAACUUUCUAAGUUUGACCUCGGAUCAGGUAGGGAUACCCGCUGAACUUAA